rnacentral:rRNA from 1 species
GAUGAACGCUGGCGGCGUGCCUAAUACAUGCAAGUCGAGCGAACGGACGAGAAGCUUGCUUCUCUGAUGUUAGCGGCGGACGGGUGAGUAACACGUGGAUAACCUACCUAUAAGACUGGGAUAACUUCGGGAAACCGUAGCUAAUACCGGUUAAUAUUUUGAACCGCAUGGUUCAAAAGUGAAAGACGGUCUUGCUGUCACUUAUAGAUGGAUCCGCGCUGCAUUAUCUAGUUGGUAAGGUAACGGCUUACCAAGGCAACGAUGCAUAGCCGACCUGAGAGGGUGAUCGGCCACACUGGAACUGAGACACGGUCCAGACUCCGACGGGAGGCAGCAGUAGGGAAUCUUCCGCAAUGGGCGAAAUCCUGACGGAGCAACGCCGCGUGAGUGAUGAAGGUCUUCGGAUCGUAAAACUCUGUUAUUAGGGAAGAACAUAUGUGUAAGUAACUGUGCACAUCUUGACGGUACCUAAUCAGAAAGCCACGGCUAACUACGUG